GCUGGGCAUGGUGUUGCAUGCCUGUAAUCCCAGCUACUCAGGAGGCUGAGGCAGGAGAAUUGCUUGAACCCAGGAGGCAGAGGGUGCAGUGAGCUGAGAUUGUGUCACUGCACUCCAGCCUGGGCAACAGAGUGAGACUCUGUCUCAG
rnacentral:SRP_RNA from 1 species